GCCAGACUCCUACGGGAGGCAGCAGUGGGGAAUAUUGGGCAAUGGGCGAAAGCCUGACCCAGCAACGCCGCGUGAAGGAAGAAGGCUUUCGAGUUGUAAACUUCUUUUCUCAGGGACGAAGAAAGUGACGGUACCUGAGGAAUAAGCCACGGCUAACUACGUGCCAGCAGCCGCGGUAAUACGUAGGUGGCAAGCGUUAUCCGGAUUUAUUGGGUGUAAAGGGAGCGUAGACGGCAGUGCAAGUCCGGAGUGAAAGCCCGGGGCUCAACCCUGGGACUGCUCUGGAAACUGUAAAGCUGGAGUGCGGGAGGGGCAGGCGGAAUUCCUGGUGUAGCGGUGAAAUGCGUAGAUAUCAGGAGGAACACCGGCGGCGAAGGCGGCCUGCUGGACCGUAACUGACGUUGAGGCUCGAAAGCGUGGGGAGCAAACAGGAUUAGAUACCCUUGUAA
rnacentral:rRNA from 1 species